CAACAGGGAUUGCCUCAGUAACGGCGAGUGAAGCGGCAAAAGCUCAAAUUUGAAAUCGCAGUGCGAGUUGUAAUUUGAAGAUUGUGUUUUGGAGACGACCGUGUCUAUGUUCCUUGGAACAGGACGUCACAGAGGGUGAGAAUCCCGUGCGAUGCGGCCACCGUCCCCGUGUAAAACACUCUCGACGAGUCGAGUUGUUUGGGAAUGCAGCUCAAAGUGGGUGGUAAAUUCCAUCUAAAGCUAAAUACAGGCGAGAGACCGAUAGCGAACAAGUACAGUGAUGGAAAGAUGAAAAGCACUUUGAAAAGAGAGUGAAACAGUACGUGAAAUUGUUGAAAGGGAAGGGCAUGCCGUCAGAUUGCCAGUAUCGGUUCGCAGGGAAGCACAAAAGCAGAGGAACGUGGCCUUUCGGGUGUUAUAGCCUCCGCCAAUACUUCUCCGCGGACCGAGGACUGCUUUGAGGAUACUGGCGUAAUGACGGUACGCCGCCCGUCUUGAACA
rnacentral:rRNA from 1 species